ACCACAUGGUUCGGAUCCGGAAUAUAUUUUCUCAGCAUUGAAAUAUGGAAUACAUUAUGUACACCUGAUAAAGCUGGUGGUAGAGCCAAACGAUAUGCCACUUCUCCAAUUCUAUCCAGGAUCUCGAACGGACCAACAUACCUAGGGCUCAAUUUGCCACGAAUCCCGAACCUCAUCAUACCUUUAGUAGGAGAUACUUUCAAAAAAAAUAUGAUCACCAACAUGAAACUCCAGUUCUCUUCUCCUAUUGUCAGCAUAACUCUUUUAUCUACUCUGAGCUAUAAGGAACCGUUCUCUGAUCACCUGUAUCUUAUCCACAGUUUGCUGUACUAUCUUUGGACCCAAUGCUUUUCUUUCUCUCACAUCAUCCCUGAGAUCUCAAAUAGUCUCCCUCUCGAAGUAUCUACUCACAAGAUUUUGACAUACAAAAAUCACAGCAUCUCAAAACUUGAUCCUUUUUAUUUACCACACAUAGUAAGUUCUUUUGAUCUCCUUCAAAAGAAUUCCAAACUUCCAACCUUAGAUUAAAAUGCCAUAAUUAUAUCCCAAGAAAUUAAUUUCUCUUGAUUCUACACAGAGAUCAUAAUUGGCUUGAUAGAAAUAGGAGAAAUCUUUAGUAUCAAAUGUUCUUAAUAUUCUAUAAUCAUUUUUUUUUUCUUUCUCCCACAUCAUUCCAACAAAUAAGAGAUCCAUAGAAUCAACAACAUUCUCCUGAAACUAACUCAAGUAUUUCAUCAUAAUGCCUUUUAGAUCAAAUAUUAAUGAUCUUAACCAGUUUCAAAAUAAGUCAAACCACCACACUUCCGCUGCACUCUCUGAUUUAAUUCAUUUAAUUCU
rnacentral:lncRNA from 1 species